rnacentral:rRNA from 1 species
AAUCAACGCUGGCGGCGUGCCUAACACAUGCAAGUCGAACGCGACUGGGGCUUCGGCCUCAGUUGAGUGGCGAACGGGUGAGUAACACGUGGGUGACCUACCUUCGAAUGGGGGAUAACGUCCCGAAAGGGACGCUAAUACCGCAUAACAUCCUGCCUUUGAACAGGCGGAGAUCAAAGCCGGGGAUCGCAAGACCUGGCGUUUGAAGAGGGGCCCGCGUCCGAUUAGCUAGUUGGUGAGGUAACGGCUCACCAAGGCGACGAUCGGUAGCCGGCCUGAGAGGGCGGGACGGCCACACUGGGACUGAGACACGGCCAGACUCCUACGGGAGGCAGCAGUGGGGAAUUGUUCGCAAUGGGCGCAAGCCUGACGACGCAACGCCGCGUGGAGGAUGAAGGUCUCGGAUUGUAAACUCCUGUUGCCCGGGACGAAUAGCUCCGACCU